rnacentral:rRNA from 1 species
GUCUACAGCCAUGCUACCCUGAACAAGCCCAAUCCCGUCUGACCUCGGAAGCUAAGUAGAGUUGGGCCUGGUUAGUACUUGGAUGGGAGACCACCUAGGAAGACCAGGUGCUAUAGGCA